AUAAUUUCAGUGGAAAAACCUUGUUACAAUAAUGUGAAUAUAGUAAGUGUUUGCCGUCUUGACUUGGACCAACAAGUCUUUCAAUACCCUCCUCCCAAACUCUUUAUACAAGAAUUAAUGCUUAUAUAUAUACCCCCCCCCACCCCACCAACACAUACACACAUAAUCAAAAGCCACACCAAGGCUAGAGCAUUCAGAGACAUCCAUCCAAAAUUGCUCAUGGGGAGUUUGAUGAUGAAGAAGGUGUUAUUCUUUAAUCUUAAUUGUUGUUGGAUCAAUCUCAUGUUCUCUUGGAGUUGAAUUUGAAAGAUUCCCUUCAGGAAAGGGAAGGAAAGAAAAAAUUGCUUGCCAAUUUAUUAGAAGAGCACAUCCUAAGAGGAGUAGAUACUUCGCUUGUGAAGGUGUCAAGAGAAACCAUAUGAAUGUGAUGGGAAAGUUCUCCACCAAAUAUGAAAAUCUGCUGCCUACUGGUUCCCAGAAAAUUGUUGAUGCCAAUUUAAGAUACAAUCAGAUGCCAAGACUACACAAACGACACAUAUAUUUGGGGG
rnacentral:misc_RNA from 1 species